UGCCGGCGACCGGCGGACGGGUGCGUAACGCGUAUGUAACCUACCUUUGACAGGGGGAUAACAUCGAGAAAUUGGUACUAAUACCCCGUAACAUCACCGGAGGCAUCUUCGGUGGUUGAAAACUCAGGUGGUCAGAGAUGGACAUGCGUUGUAUUAGCUAGUUGGUGAGGUAACGGCUCACCAAGGCGACGAUACAUAGGGGGACGUGAGAGGUCAACCCCCCCACAUUGGUACUGAGACACGGACCAAACUCCUACGGAAGGCAGCAG
rnacentral:rRNA from 1 species